GAGGCCUAUGAUGAUCAACCACUAUAUAGCCUACAUCGGUUGAUUCAAUUGUAUGAUAAGAAUCUCCUUUUACUCUGAGGCCUUC